AAACAAUAUUUUUACAUCAUCACAAUAUAAAGCAACAAAAACAUACAUAUGCACAAGUGCAUUAAAACGACUUACACUAUUAGCGUUGUCCGGUCGACUAAUCAUAUGUUAAAAUGUAUAAUAACAAACAAGCACGAAGAAGAUAUUAAACAUAAACAGGAGAACUAAUAAUUAAAAUACAGUAAUUGUAAACAAAAAUUUUUAUACAAACAACAAUACAUGAAGUGCUAAACAGUAAGACGAAGAAAUGUUUGUAUCUCAUCUCAGCAGAGCAAUGUUGUUGUCCGAAGAAAUCUUGGCAGCGGACGGACGAUAAGUUUAACAUGAACACACGAUCACACGACACCUACACUGUAGGUUUGUUGUUGUGCGUUAGAACUAAUUUGCGAUAAACGUGAGCGCAAUUGGCGGUGUCCGUUUUAUAGUUCAUCCUUUUGUGAUUAGGGGUGUUCAUAAUAUGUAGCAUCUUUAAAACAUAGCGUUUAUUAUAGAUUUUCUCUUCUUGCAAGAUUGCUACUUUAUCAAAGUCGGGAUAAUGUCCCGUAUCCUGGCGAGGUGAAAAAAAAAGAAUUGUGAGGAGUGUAGGCGAAGAGCCCACAAUUAUCUUUAAGCGCCCGGCAGAACGUGACCAUCAGAAGCCGAGAUUACCCUCACCAAGGCAGGAGGAUUAGUCAGCACCGGUGACGACCAGAUAAGGCCCAAACCAUUAGACCCGUAGAAGAACCCCCCCAGCGACACUGUGCCAGGAGAUUAAGGUGAACCACCCCAGUGUGAAGGCAGG